UUUUGUAAUAUUAUAUUGGGCUUAUGUAAAUUGAUGAUGACAAAAAGACCUGAGAAGCUAAAACUCACAAUUUUUAUUGUCAUUAUUGUUUUAUCAUUUUCUUUGUUAAUAUACUAUUAUUGUUGUUAUUUAAUUUUUCCUUUUUCUUUUUUCCUUCUUUCCCACCUUUUUUCUUCUCUCUAGUUAAUAUAUUACUGUAAAUAGAUUUGAUUUUAUUAAAUUGAUGUAAUACAGCUGAUCUGAUAUCUCUUUUUAUGUAUCUGUUAAUUUUAAUUAUU